GCGCCUGUAGCUCAAUUGGAUAGAGCACUGUCCUCCGAAGACAGAGAUUUCGGGUUCAAAUCCUGUCAGGCGCG
rnacentral:tRNA from 1 species